UAAGACUGGAGAACUCCAAAAAGCCGGAGCUAAUACCGGAUACUAUGUCAAACCGCAUGGUUUGACAUUCAAAGACGGUUUCGGCUGUCACUUACAGAUGGGCCCGCGGCGCAUUAGCUAGUUGGUGAGGUAAUGGCUCACCAAGGCGACGAUGCGUAACCGACCUGAGAGGGUGAUCGGCCACACUGGGACUGAGACACGGCCCAGACUCCUACGGGAGGCAGCAGGUAGGGAAUCUUCCGCAAUGGACGAAAGUCUGACGGAGCAACGCCGCGUGAGUGAAUGAAGGUUUUCAGGAUCGUAAAACUCUGUUGUCAGAGAAGAACAAGUGCCGGAGUAACUGCCGGCACCUUGACGGUACCUGACCAGAAAGCCACGGCUAACUACGUGCCAGCAGCCGCGGUAAUACGUAGGUGGCAAGCGUUGUCCGGAAUUAUUGGGCGUAAAGCGCGCGCAGCGGUUUCUUAAGUCUGAUGUGAAAGCCCCCCGGCUCAACCGGGGAGGGUCAUUGGAAACUGGGAAACUUUGAGUGCAGAAGAGGAGAGUGGAAUUUCCACGUGUAGCGGUGAAUGCGUACAGAUGUGGAGGACCACCAGUGGCGAAGGCGACUCUCUUGUCUGUAACUGACAGCUGAGCGCGAAGCGUGGGUAGGCGACAGGAUUAGAUACCCUGGGUAGUCCCACGCCGUAACGAUGGAUUGCUAAGUGUAAGGG
rnacentral:rRNA from 2 species